rnacentral:rRNA from 1 species
GACGUAGGGCGCGAGCGUUGUCCGGAUUUAUUGGGCGUAAAGAGCUCGUAGGCGGUUUGUCGCGUCGUCCGUGAAAACUCACAGCUUAACUGUGAGCUUGCGGUCGAUACGGGCAGGCUAGAGUUCGGUAGGGGAGACUGGAAUUCCUGGUGUAGCGGUGAAAUGCGCAGAUAUCAGGAGGAACACCGGUGGCGAAGGCGGGUCUCUGGGCCGUAACUGACGCUGAGGAGCGAAAGCAUGGGUAGCGAACAGG